CCCUUAGAUGUCCUGGGCCGCACGCGCGCUACACUGAACGGAUCAGCGCGUUUUCCCUUCCCGAGAGGGACGGGUAACCUGCUGAACCCCGUUCGCGGUAGGGAUCGGGGCUUGCAAUUAUUCCCCGUGAACCAGGAAUGCCCAGUAAGUGCAAGUCAUAAGCUUGCGUUGAUUACGUCCCUGCCCUUUGUACACACCGCCCGUCGCUACUACCGAUUGAACGUUUUAGUGAGGUACUCGGACUGAGCCUCAGAAGAUUCACGUCUUUUGUGCUGCUCGGGAAGAUUCCCAAACUUGAGCGUUUAGAGGAAGUAAAAGUCGUAACA
rnacentral:rRNA from 1 species